AUUGAACGCUGGCGGCAGGCCUAACACAUGCAAGUCGAGCGAGCGGCGGACGGGAGAGUAAUGUCUGGGAAACUGACUGAUGGAGGGGGCUAACUACUGGAAACGGUAGAUAAUACCGCAUACGAUCAGAUGUGCCCAGAUGGGAUUAGCUAGUAGGUGGGGUAACGGCUCACCUAGGCGACGAUCCCUAGCUGGUCUGAGAGGAUGACCAGCCACACUGGAACGGAUACACGGUCCAGACUCCUACGGGAGGCAGCAGUGGGGAAGAUUGCACAAUUGGCGCAAGCCUGCUGCAGCCAUGCCGCGUGUAUGAAGAAGGCCUUCUGGUUGUAAAGUACUUUCAGCGGGGGGUCGUUACCCGCCGAAGAAGCACCGGCUAACUCCGUGCCAGCAGCCGCGGUAAUUC
rnacentral:rRNA from 1 species